UAUAGCUCAGAGGUAGAGUAUUUGUUUUGCAUGCAAAAGACCUUGAGUUCCAUUCCCACUA
rnacentral:tRNA from 1 species